rnacentral:rRNA from 1 species
AUACGUAGGGGGCGAGCGUUGUCCGGAAUGAUUGGGCGUAAAGGGCGCGUAGGCGGCCCGGUAAGUCUGGAGUGAAAGUCCUGUUUUUAAGAUGGGAAUUGCUUUGGAUACUGUCGGGCUUGAGUGCAGGAGAGGUAAGUGGAAUUCCCAGUGUAGCGGUGAAAUGCGUAGAGAUUGGGAGGAACACCAGUGGCGAAGGCGACUUACUGGACUGUAACUGACGCUGAGGCGCGAAAGUGUGGGGAGCAAACAGGAUUAGAUACCCUGGUAGUCCACACUGUAAACGAUGAAUGCUAGGUGUAGGGGGUAUCGACCCCUUCUGAGCCGCAGUCAACACAAUAAGCAUUCCGCCUGGGGAGUACGGCCGCAAGGUUGAAACUCAAAGGAAUUGACGGGG